UUCAGACAAGGGCAAACAUUCUCGAAAGAAAUGGGCGCAAAGCCACGGGUCUAAGGCUUAUUGCUAAGAUCGCCGGGUUACCUGA
rnacentral:ncRNA from 1 species